ACGACCAAAUCCAAAUCCCCCAAACCUAAAUCCUCUCACGCACUCCCUCCGCCGCCGCCCGCUAGCUAGCAGCCCGCACGCCGCCAACCACCCGCCGUCUCCAGCACGCCGUCACCUGUCUCCUUUAUCCUCCUGCACCCCCACUGCUUAGGCCCCGAACACUUCUAACCCUAGCUCGUGCGCUGGAGUUCGGGGAGAGGCCAAGGCGCGGUGGUGGACGCCGCCAUCCCUCUCAGAUCCGGGGCUAAGAGAGGGAGGGAGGGAGGGAGAGGUGGGUCACCUGCGAGAAAGAGCACUCGCACCCUCGCUCGUCAGCCGUCACCCAGGAGCCGCCACCACCGCCGCCACGCCAUGGGCUUCCUCCGAUCUGCGCUCACUGGUUUGUUUGAAGAAGGAUCUAGCCGUUGACUGUUGGUGCUUCCCCUCCCCGGGCGAUCAGCCAUGACUUGGGAUAGUACUUCUAUCCAGCAAGCAACGUUUUGGAUGUGAGCUCCAGCUCAAGCAGAGCAUCAAAAACAGGGGCUCUAUCUGCUAAUGGGGCAGCCGACAAUGCAGUCUAAGAGCUACAUCUCAUGUGAUUUCUGGAUAUGAGAACUUGAGAAGAACAAGCUUGAUGCUAUUAUUGAAAAAAAUAAUCUAUGCUACAGGAUUCUUCUUUGCAUCCCAUACACUUAGACGGAGUGGGAGGCUGCCGCAGCGGUGCUGGACUCGGAGCCCAAGCCAUCCGCCGCCGCCAACAAGUUGCACCUCUUCGCGGAAAUCACCACAACUGUGAUGUCUGUAUAGAAAAUCAGUAUUUUCUUGGUUCAUAUCCUAUUUGAAACUUGGAAUGUUGAUUGUUGGGCACAACUUGACUUUCACAGUAGCCUGCAUAUUCUUCUGCUCACAAAUAGAGCAAAACAUGCACCAUAGAAUGCUGGGAGAACAUAGAUUUAUUUUGCUCUUCGUACUUUUAUUAGAUAAGCCACAUUUCAAGGAGAAUAUGGAUUUAUGUUGCUCUUCCUACUAUUAUUAGAUAGGCCACAUUCUUUUUGUUUCAUUCAUGCCUUUGUUGCUAACAGUAUGGUUGUGUAAAUUCAACAUUGAUGUUUAAUGUUAUUACAUGAUUUACACAAAACUGGUAUUCAUAUUACAUGAGAUGUUGCAGGUGCUGACAGUCGGAUGCCUUCAGAAUUGGCUCUUAAAACUUUCAACCAAGAUUAGAGCUAGCAUACAGUUUGCAGUUUAUAGUCGUACUCAUACUCAAUGAGUCCCUACCUCGGCUUCUGGGCAAGAUAUUCUUUAAUUUUAGUUGAUUAGCAACCACUAUUGUUCAGGAAUUUUGAGUAGCGCGCAUCUUGGUCUGGCGAGCCGGUGACCGGACAUCAUUUGUCAAGGAAGCAAAAAGGACUACACUCACAAGGAACCAUGAAGCCAACGAACCACGUCAACUAGAUGUUUUAGCUUUCAUUUUGUACAACUGAUGUCUCAUACUUGCACCUUUUGACUAUCCUUUUGUAAACCUGAUGUAUGGUUCCUCGGUGGUUUUGUUUAGAACAGAUUGAAGUGUAUGUAUGUGCCAAUUAGUUAAUGGAAUAAAAAAUGUUUGGUGCUCCCGAUUUGAGCGUGA